GACCGCAUAGCUCAGUUGGAAGAGCAUUGGGCUAGUAUUCCAAAGGUCGUAGGUUCGAAUCCCACCGUGGCCA